rnacentral:rRNA from 1 species
AACGAACGCUGGCGGCAGGCCUAACACAUGCGAGUCGAGCGAGGACUUCGGUUCUAGCGGCGGACGGGUGAGUAACGCGUGGGAAUGUGCCCUUCUCUACGGAAUAGCCCUGGGAAACUGGGAGUAAUACCGUAUACGCCCUAUUGGGGAAAGAUUUAUCGGAGAAGGAUCAGCCCGCGUUGGAUUAGGUAGUUGGUGGGGUAAUGGCCUACCAAGCCGACGAUCCAUAGCUGGUUUGAGAGGAUGAUCAGCCACACUGGGACUGAGACACGGCCCAGACUCCUACGGGAGGCAGCAGUGGGGUAUCUUAGACAAUGGGGGCAACCCUGAUCUAGCCAUGCCGCGUGAGUGAUGAAGGCCUUAGGGUUGUAAAGCUCUUUCAGCUGGGAAGAUAAUGACGGUACCAGCAGAAGAAGCCCCGGCUAACUCCGUG